AAGUCGAGGGGCAGCGGGAAGGUUAGCUUGCUAAUCUUUGCCGGCGACCGGCGCACGGGUGAGUAACACGUAUGCAACCUGUCCGGUACAGGGGGAUAAGCGGCGGAAACGCCGUCUAAUACCGCGUGACAACCCGAGGGGGCAUCCCCUUGGGUUCAAAGGAGAGAUCCGGUACCGGCUGGGCAUGCGGCGCAUUAGCUAGUUGGCGGGGCAACGGCCCACCAAGGCGACGAUGCGUAGGGGUUCUGAGAGGAAGGUCCCCCACACUGGAACUGAGACACGGUCCAGACUCCUACGGGAGGCAGCAGUGAGGAAUAUUGGUCAAUGGGCGCAAGCCUGAACCAGCCAAGUCGCGUGAGGGAAGACGGCCCUACGGGUUGUAAACCUCUUUUGCCGGGGAGCAAGCCUGAGCACGUGUGCCCAGGCGGAGAGUACCCGGAGAAAAAGCAUCGGCUAACUCCGUGCCAGCAGCCGCGGUAAUACGGAGGAUGCGAGCGUUAUCCGGAUUUAUUGGGUUUAAAGGGUGCGCAGGCGGGCUGUUAAGCCGGCGGUAAAAAUUCAGGGCUCAACCCUGUCGAGCCGUCGGAACUGGCAGUCUUGAGUGGGCGAGAAGUAUGCGGAAUGCGUGGUGUAGCGGUGAAAUGCAUAGAUAUCA
rnacentral:rRNA from 1 species